UCCCUGGUGGUCUCAUGGCUAAGACUCUGCACUCCCAAGGUAGGGGACCCUGGUUCGAUCCCUGGUCAGGGAA
rnacentral:tRNA from 1 species